UAAGGAAUAUUGGACAAUGGACGAAAGUCUGAUCCAGCCAUACCGCGUGCAGGAUGACAGCCCUACGGGUUGUAAACUGCUUUUAUACAGGAAGAAACACUCCGACGUGUCGGAGCUUGACGGUACUGUAAGAAUAAGGAUCGGCUAACUCCGUGCCAGCAGCCGCGGUAAUACGGAGGAUCCAAGCGUUAUCCGGAAUCAUUGGGUUUAAAGGGUCCGCAGGCUGUUUUUUAAGUCAGAGGUGAAAUCCUACAGCUCAACUGUAGAACUGCCUUUGAUACUGGAAAACUUGAGUUAUUGUGAAGUGGUUAGAAUGUGUGGUGUAGCGGUGAAAUGCAUAGAUAUCACACAGAAUACCGAUUGCGAAGGCAGAUCACUAACAAUAUACUGACGCUCAUGGACGAAAGCGUGGGGAGCGAACAGGAUUAGAUACCCUGGUAGUCCACGCCGUAAACGAUGGAUACUAGCGGUUCGUCUAACAUUGGUUAGAUGAGUGGCUAAGCGAAAGUGAUAAGUAUCCCACCUGGGGAGUACGGUCGCAAGACUG
rnacentral:rRNA from 1 species